rnacentral:misc_RNA from 1 species
GUUUGCUUUGAUGUUUUCCUCUUCUUUCCUGUGUGAAUAUCAUUAAUGCUUCCUACCAAUUAAAAUCUAUUUUUGCAUAUGGUAGCAUCUCCCUUUGAUCAGGAGGGCUCCUUCCAAGAAUAUCUAGUUUCAUAUAGUUUUAAUCGACGAUUAUUCUUAUCCAUUUAUCCUUUAUCCUUCUUUGGAUGCUUUAGUGGAGCCACU